rnacentral:rRNA from 1 species
GGGGAAUCUUGGACAAUGGACGAAAGUCUGAUCCAGCGACGCCGCGCGGAGGAAGCAGUCCUUCGGGAUGUAAACUCAUGAAGCUCACGAAUAAGACGGAAGGGGAACCUUCCGCGAGCAGCUAAUUAGUGAAAAGCCCCGCCUAACUACGUGCCAGCAGCCGCGGUAAUACGUAGGGGGCGAGCGUUGCCCGGAAUUACUGGGCGUAAAGGGAACGUAGGUGGCUCUUAAAGUCAGGUGUGAAAAUAACGAAGCUUAACAGGUUAAUGCGCUUGGAACUAAAGGGCUUGAGGGCAAUAGAGGGAGAUGGAAUUACCUGUGUAGGGGUGAAAUCCGCAGAUAUAGGUAAGAAGGCCGGUGGGGAAGCCGAUCUCCUGGGUUGACUCUGACACUGAGGUUCGAAAGCUAGGGGAGCAAACC